UUGAACUUCAUAACAACAAAUGAAAUUUAAAUUGUUUCAUUCAAUAUUUGUUUCUCUCUUUGCAGACGUUUAAGUUUACGACCAUCAGCGGAAGAGUUAGAGGAAAGAAAUAUUCUUAAAACAACAACUCCUGAGGAGGCACGUAAACAGAAGGAGGAAAAAAGAAAAACUCUCUUACGAAAGUUGUCCUUUAGGCCAACUCUAGAAGAGCUUCGGGAACGAAAAAUUAUACGCUUCAAUGACUAUAUAGAGGUGACUCAGGCACAUGAAUAUGACCGACGAGCAGACAAGCCAUGGACCCGUCUUACACCAAGAGACAAGGCAGCCAU